GUCAACUCUAACUCCAGGAACGGGAAGACAAGCGGCGGUAUCGCCUUCAUCCAACAGCCGACAAAUCUGGAGCGGAUGCUAGCAGGCUAACCACUGGGGCCCCAUGACAAUAUUUACUUGAGUUGUCUUCCCAUGAAGCAAUACGGCGGCACCGGCGACAGUCCGCCCUCUGCUGCCGUGGUCCACAGUGACGAUUUCUGCAAAAU